GACGAACGCUGGCGGCAUGCUUAACACAUGCAAGUCGAACGGUAAGGCCCUUCGGGGUACACGAGUGGCGAACGGGUGAGUAACACGUGGGUGAUCUGCCCUGCACUUCGGGAUAAGCCUGGGAAACUGGGUCUAAUACCGGAUAGGACCCUGGGAUGCAUGUCCUGGGGUGGAAAGCUUUUGCGGUGUGGGAUGGGCCCGCGGCCUAUCAGCUUGUUGGUGGGGUGAUGGCCCACCAAGGCGACGACGGGUAGCCGGCCUGAGAGGGGGACCGGCCAAACUGGGACGGAGAUACGGCCCAGACUCCUACGGGAGGCAGCAGAGGGGAAUAUUGCACAAUGGGCUCAAGCCUGAGGCAGCGACGCCGCGUGAGGGAUGACGGCCUUCGGGUUGUGAACCUCUUUCAGCACCGACGAAGCGCAAGUGACGGUAGGUGCAGAAGAAGGACCGGCCAACUACGUGCCAGCCGCCGCCGUAA
rnacentral:rRNA from 1 species